GGGGCACGCGCCGCGCGGACGGCCGGGGCAGCGCGGGCCGCCGCUGCGCGCAGCGAGAGGAAAGGCGGCCGCGCGGGCUUCGUUUUAUUCUGGGACGGGGGCCCGCCUCGAAAACCGCAUUAAAAACUGCGUUAGAUGGGACGCGUGUAUCGGCUCUGCUGGAGAGCGGCUGGUCAGGCAGCUGGCUGAGCUACGCCACCACACAGAGCGCGAGGCGCGCGCCCUGAGAGGCAGCGGCGCUCGUGUGGCCGCGGGGUCAGCUCUCGAGUUGAGCGGAUGGGGCACGUUGGGUUUUAUAGGCCUUUCCCACCCUUAGAUACGUGCUUGUACAAUACGAUGAUGGGCUGAAAACAAUUCCUCUAAAAGCUAGUUAAGUAUUUUUAAAAGUAACAUUACAAAUAGCCAGAUUUCUGGAGUUUUGCCUUGGCAGAAAUACCGUUCAUUUGAGACACCAUUGCUCUCUGCUUUACUGAGGUUAUGUGGAGACAAACCCUGGGCCAAACUUAGCACUCAUUGCUGUCACUGCAGAUUUAAGCUGAAAACAUUGGAAAUAAGGGAGAUCUUCCCUAGAAAUACACUUACAGAUGCUUCUGAAGCACUUUCUGUACCAGCGACAUGUCAUUUCCCUUCAUUUUUAAUUGAUAGCAAGAAAAAAGCACAAUUGAAGUGGUAGCAAGUUUUCAAACACCUAGAAGCACUUUUCUUAGCAAGUAGGAACUCAGCUUCUGCAGGUGCACAGUGUUCACAAGUCAAGGACACGCCAAUAGCACAUCACAGUGACAAAUCCAUUUGAGAGAAAGAAAUAAAGGCAAGUGUUGCUAAUGAAUAAGGGCAUUAUCUGCAUGCGUUUACCUCUAUGCCCCUGUGGAGUAUUUCCCACACUGUCAGCUCAGAACAGUUUGCAGUUAUUUUAUUUGGUGUCCCAAACUCAGAGGUUAGGUGGAGGCACUGAAGACCGCUGUCAGAGCGAUAGGAAAGCACAGAGCCCUACCCAGUUGCUGGUAGGACAGCACUCCCCUCCUGCUUCCUUUUCCUUGAGCAAACGCUAGGGAGAAGGCAGCAGGUCUGUAGGGCAGCCAGGACAUUAGGAACACUGCAGUACCGGCACCUGAAGACCAGGGAAAAGCAGGAAACUGGUUAAGAGGCAGAGGAAAGCUGGGCAGGGGAGCAGUAACAUGGUAGCAUUACAGAAUAGCAUCUUUCUUACAUCACGGUUUUGCAUGGGGAAUGACACAUGCCCACAGACUAUACAAACUUUCCUUCAACACUGUGUAACUUAUCAUUACAGCCAAGCUGACACAGAACCUGACAGCUUAAGAUAAAGAAAGCUCCCUGCCCCACCAACUGUAAUUACAAUCAACAUACACAAAAAGUGUCACAAGACAGAUUAAGAAUAUUAAUAAAAGCAGUAGUGUCCCCAAACGUUAGUGGCUCCCAAGCAAAAAUACCACACCGAGAAUCUUCACUUCAGAAUAAAAUCUGCUAUUUAAAGAGUAUCCAUUUAAGUUUAUAUAGCGUUCUAGUAAGACUAGGCUCCAUUAUUUGGUGCCAAGGUGUCUUUCUGCCACUUAAGGGUGUUGUUGGUUAAUAAGAGUAACGCAACACAAAAUGAUUUAUCCUUGCUACAACACAAGCUGAAUGGUCACUUUUCAGGGGCAUGUUGUUUGGACUUCAGAAGACAAAUUACAGAAAGCUCUAUCUGACACUGAUUAAGCACAUUUCAGAGCCUUUCCUUCCAACAACAAAGCCCACUUCCCACUCCAUUUGUCCCCCUCACGUUUUGUCAGUCUUAGCAUGCUGAGGUGUUACUAGAGCCUUCACUUUUUAGGCAGCACAACUGUGUCGUGGUUGCUGGGUACAGCUGGCAGACUGCAGUCAGACUGACUGCUCCAGUUCCACAGAGCAAGGCACAACAGUUUUCCAGUGUUUUAUUUUUCUUUGUAUAUAAACAUCAGCAAGCCUCAGAGAUACAAGGCCAGUAACAUGCACAGCUAUCUGCUCAAAGCAGCCUUUCAGCUUGCAUGUGAUAUUCCCAUCUGUCUGAGGGACUGCUGCUGCUGAUGAAACCACCUUCUUUUGCCCCUUGAACAACACUCCACUAGCCCAACACUGCCUUCCCCCCACACAGAUGGAAGAACAACCAUCAAUUACUUCUGCACAACUCUACAGUACAUUCUGAGCAUGUUACAGCACAGGAUACCCUUUUUUGGAGUACAGGAACAAGCAGGAAAAAGUUCAGUGAAGCCAUGGAGAAGCCUAAAUUUAGACUCACAAUGAUAUCUUAAUUAGCUGAUAGGAGCUGAAUGUAGAACAACAUGAAUGCAGUUACACUGUUUAUUAUGUAAAGCCUUUAUCUUGUACUGUAGAUUAACUACUCUUCUUAUGCUACAGUGCUAGAAGGAACAUUCAGGAAUUACAGUGUGACAGUGAGAGUCGCUCUGAAUUUGUGUUGACAAGGGAAAAGAACACCACACAACUGUUCUGUAGGAUUUUUAUUGAAAAACAUAAAAGUGAAAAAUGAUCAAAGUCAAUUUUACAGGGAACUUCAGAUGUGCAGAAUGGCUUACCUGAUGCUGGGAUUUAUUGCAGGAACCUUAUUCCAAUGGUUUUCUCAAAGCAAUUUCUGGAUUAAAAAUCACAUUCUCACAGCAUCAAAAAUGGUUUGCUAAUAAUACUUUCUCAGGGCUUACAGAAUUUACUUUUAAAAGACAAUUUUCCUAAAAUUAAGACAUUGAUACAGCAAUAUUCCCUCCUUCACAGACCAGCUAACGGCCUCCUGUGUCUGACAACUGGCAGACAUGAACCGCAGACAUCAUUUCUCUCUCUUUUUUUUUUUAAAACCUGAGAAAUUCUUUAAAUGUUUCUUACCAUACUCUCUUAUUUGGCAACACUGCUUUAGUUACAUAGCAAAGUGUGAUUCUUAAUUGUUGGAGACCAGUCCUUGACUACUUUCAAAAGCCUUUCUCAGAAACAGGAGUUACAUUCAUACAUAUCUGCUUCAUUGCAUAGUAUGCCCUUUUGGAAAGUUCAGCUCAUUAAUAACAUCAUCAGAACACUAACCUCAGGAUGUCAAGUUCCCAUCAGUUGUGUAAUUCCUAGUAUUGUGCACCUCAGAAAUAUUUAUGUUGGCAUGUUACAUACAUCUGUAGUGUAGAGAAGUUGAUUUUUUUUAUGCUUAGUCCUGGCCUUAUAAAAUAAUCUUUUCCAUUUAUCCAUGCCCUGUCCCUUGCCACCAAUUAUCUCCCUUUCCUUCAGAGCUGCAAUAGAAACAGGUAAAAGCACAUAAAUACAUUUAAAUGUGGCCAUCCAUGGAGAUGUAAAAGAUUUGGUGAACAGCUGUCAGCCCUCUUGGAAAACACCCUUAGUUGACAGGUGAGUUUGUAUCAACAUAACACCUGUAAAACUCUCAGUUCACUAUUCAAGUAUUUAAUUGUAAAAUUCAGAGCUUCCAUAUAUAAUUCCCAAUCUUCCAAAAUUCAGUAUUUUAAGAUUCUGAAACAUGCUAGUCACUUUACACUCGCUCCCAGUACAGAUAAAAACCAACAAUGCCUAAUAGAAAUGAUGAUAAAACACUUGCAACAAACAAGGUAACUUCCAACAGAAUAUCACUUCUUUUGAAUUUUCAAUGCAUUUCAAUGUUAAUUGCCUUUGGUUUUCACAAAUUGUCGCAUUCAGUUUUAUCUCAACUUAUCUGACUAGUAAUUCUAACAGUUAUCAGCUCUGUCUGCCAGGCUGAAAUUCAGGAUAAUACACUGGAACAAACAGAGCUUUGAUUGCCUCGUGCACUAUUAAAAACCAUUAUGGUAACCAUGGAAAUCAAUAAAGCGUAUGAUUUGAAAGGUUCAUAAGUCACGUACCUGAAGAAAUACAUGGAUUUUUCUGUUUGUAUCUCUGUAACUUCAGCCAUUACAGUACUAAAAUCAAUACUGAAGUGUUUUGGCUUUCAACUUCCCUGCAAGCUUGCUUUAAAAGAACGAUGCAGGACAUUACCACUGUAUAAGAUAUGGACAGCUACCACACAUAGCUGAUUCAUGAUUACCUUUAAUUUCACUUUAAUUUGUUGGCAUUUUUGAUCCCAAAAGAAGCAGCAACAGAUGGGAUUUACUUAAAUGUGUUCCUCAUCCUACCUUUUUUUUUUUUUAAACAUCAGUUAAAAAAACUUCUGAAAAACAAGAAGCUAAUGUGACUGUUUUGAUAACCCUUCGUCUCACAUAUGUUCUGAACACUCUACAAUAUUAUAUUGUGUUUUUGCAUAUCAGCACUGAGUGCAUUUUAAAAAGGACUCUCCUGCUUUCAAGGAGAUGUUUAUAGCACCAUAUAAUCUGCUGUUGAUUUAACUGCUUAGAAUCAGACUCUUUCUGCCGUUGUUUAUCAAGAAAAGUUAUUACACUGUUAUUCCCUUUAGCAAUUUUUUAAAAAAAAUCUACUAGAAAAACUUCAUCAUCCAAUUGAAUGCAUGUAAAAAAAUCAAUUACUGGACACUCCAUGUAGAGUUAUUCCAGCUGUGUAAAAACAUGAGUCUUCUGGAAUGGCACCGUUUAAUUUAACAGCAGAAAAAUCUAAUGGAUGCAGUGAAUUAAAAUGUCUCUCUCACUCUUCAUUCAAUUUUUAAAAGCUUUUUGCCAAGAUUCCAAUUCUGCCUCAUCCGUUGUAGUUCAUUUUCAGUUCAUAAUAAGAGAAAAAUCAGUGACAAACACAAGAGGCAGAGUGCUGGCCAAGCCAUGUUAAAAUGCAGAAGGAAUAGCAAGUGACGAGGAAGCAAGAAGAAAAUACGGUAGCUGGAACAAACUGUAAAUACACUAAACAUAAGACAGUAUCUAAGUCCGACAGCAAAUUUUAUAUUCUAUCAAUAUUUAAAUUGGUCUGUUUUCAACAGAUGCACAAUUAAGAAUUUACUCAGAAUUGAUACAUAAUGCAAUAAAUUAUCAAGUACAGGAACCAUUCGUGCACUAACAACCGCUACCAUUGCUCUUCACGGGUAAAGCUGAAGCAUGUCCGAAUGGCACUUGGUUGAAAGGAAAGUAAUACUGGGACUUGACCGUUUUUUAUAUUCGUUACCUACAACAUUCAAAGUAACCGACCAUCUACUACUUCACAUUGCAAGAGGCUUGUUUUCCAAAGAUGAGUUCCAAUGACCAGAAAUACAAAUGAGAUCGGUUUGAAUCCAUGAUGAAGAUUGUUAAACGGUGUAUUUCUGAAGAAAGCGGUCAAAUGCAUCAUAAAUCGCUUGCCUAAAGCAGGGACAAAGAAGUUAAUUGUAGAUCACUUGUAUAUUUUAGUAAAGGACAGACUCUUUCCAUUUAUUUCAAAAUUAAACGUAUCAUCACAACUUGAAAAUAGCAUUCAGUAAAAAUAUGGUAUUCUUUUUCCUUCAUUUACAUCACACUUCGAUCUAGUAAUAUGUUUCGGGACUUAACCAGACUACUUACCACCUUUCACAGGAAUGCAAAUUUUAAUUGAGGAUUCUUGUACUAAAUGUGUCAAGAAGUAUGUCAGACAUGCAACACUAAUUAUUUUUGAGGGUGAUGUUUCAAAAUAGCAGUAAGCUGGGAGUUCACAUAUGUUGACCUGGUACAUUGCUAUUCCUUCCCAAUGUUGCUUAGACUUCCUAAAUGGGAUGUACACUCAGUUGCUAAUUUCUUAUAUUUUAAAAUUAACACCACAAGUAUUUACCUUUUAAAAACUAAGGAACGGCAUGUAUAUAAAUGCAUUUCUAUAACUGAUUUAUGUAACAGACUAAAAAGUCGACACCUAGUACUAUUAAGGCAAGACUUUGUGUAAGUACUACUCAUCUGCAAUCAAGCUUAUGCUUUACUUCUGGUCUUCAACUAGUUACUCACAGAACACCUGCAAAAAGGCAACAGCCGUGCAACACAAUGUAAGAGGUCACUGCUUAGAAAGUACUUUCUAGUAUCCAGGGAACAAAUGAAGAACUAUAGGAAAGCAAGAGUGCUAACAACGACCCUACUGCCAAAGGCUUAGUGAACGAUUUGAGAUACAUUACACAUCAUUCUCACUCACAGAAUAGAAUGGUGACAUUCUCUAGGAUCCAAUCAUUUGAUCUCACAAGCAGUAUUUGGUAUUUGUUGCUUUAAAUAUAGACUCAUUUGUUAGAAGGGAAGUGAUAUAUCUCAGAAGUAUGGUUUUAAGCUCUCAAAUAUCAUUAUUACUUCCUGUCUACCUUACCUAAAGAGUCCUUGUUUGAAGAGGUAGGCACUGACAUGACCUCCAUUCAGAUACCUGAUUUCACAUCCGGGCCAGAUUUCUUGCAGACUGCGCACUCCAGUUCGAGGAAUAUACGCAUCCUCCUUAGCUUGCACAACUAUGAUUAAACUGGGGUCAACUGGAACUAAAGAAAAACAACUCAAAAUGGAAUUCAUCUAAGAUUAGAAAAUGAUAGAAAUACUUUAGCUGAAGAUUUCUGCUACAGUAUGCUCCCAAUUACUAAAAAAAAUAAAAGCAAUUUUUAGUCAAAUUAUAUAUAUUUUUAAUGUCUCUAGCAAUAUCUAAUUUUUGAUGCUACAGUAGUGGAAAAUUGUCUUUCUCCUUAAUGAUAAAACUCUAUAGCAUGCAGAUCAGUUCUAAGAGACCUUCCCCCCCACCCAGGGAAAAGAUCUAGAAGAUAUCUGAAAUUCACUAGAGUAGACACAUUCUGUUAUUUUUCUCACAGAGAGGAAAAAAAAUAACUUUUGAUAUUAGAAGUCAGACAGCAAGUGCAGCAUGCUCACUUUCUUUCUUAUUACUUAUCUCCACAAUUGCACCGAUCUGAUUAUCAACAGGAAUAACGCUAAAAUGCUGUUUAGAAAAAUAACACCAAAAUGGAGUGCAGCACAGAACACCACUCUCUUGACAAGAAUACAUGUGGUAUGGUAGACAGUGACAAACUAAGGCAUUUGCAAGUGGAGGGUCACAAAAACUUUAGACCCUUUCGUUUCGUAUAUAGCAAAUAAUGAAUAGAGGAUAUACAGCGUUAAGGUAGAUCCCCCAUGUUUUCCUUCCAUUUUCCAUGAAAUCUGAACGUUAGGUGGAUUUCCUGAAGCUCCUCUACAGAUACAGCUCAAGCAUACCCUGGCAAGGGGUGCAUUAUCUCCCAGAGCAGCAAGAGACCUGAGAGACAACUGGGACAAAGGACUACAUCACCUUAACAAGCUCACUGAGAUCACAGAUCCUCUUAAGUUUCAAGAAACAAAUAGCUUCUCAAGUUUUAGAGAAAAACCUUCAGUGUUAUGUAUCCCAAAACAGAGCAGUGAUCUGAGGCAUUUUCCAGAUGGGAAGGAAAACAGGCAAGAGCAAGAUGUUUCAGGCUACCAGCUUUCCAGAUUACAAAGCCAUCUACUGGGAUGAAUUAUCUAUGCUUUCUAUGUUUUGACUGAGUACAUUUAACAUCGUGGAUUACAUGAACUUUGUAGUAAGGGAUAUACUUAACAUGAAUUAUUCAACUAAAAUAUUAGGCACAUGUAAACAUUUGCAAAUAGUGAAAAUAAACUAUAUACUUACUCC